UACGAAGGGGGCUAGCGUUGCUCGGAAUCACUGGGCGUAAAGGGUGCGUAGGCGGGUCUUUAAGUCAGGGGUGAAAUCCCAAGGCUCAACCUUGGAACUGCCUUUGAUACUGGGGAUCUUGAGUCCGGGAGAGGUGAGUGGAACUGCGAGUGUAGAGGUGAAAUUCGUAGAUAUUCGCAAGAACACCAGUGGCGAAGGCGGCUCACUGGCCCGGUACUGACGCUGAGGUGCGAAAGCGUGGGGAGCAAACAGG
rnacentral:rRNA from 1 species